AUUGAACGCUGGCGGAAUGCUUUACACAUGCAAGUCGAACGGCAGCACGGGGCAACCUGGUGGCGAGUGGCGAACGGGUGAGUAAUACAUCGGAACGUGCCCAAUCGUGGGGGAUAACGUAGCGAAAGUUACGCUAAUACCGCAUACGAUCUACGGAUGAAAGCGGGGGAUCGCAAGACCUCGCGCGAAUGGAGCGGCCGAUGUCAGAUUAGGUAGUUGGUGGGGUAAAGGCUCACCAAGCCAACGAUCUGUAGCUGGUCUGAGAGGACGACCAGCCACACUGGAACUGAGACACGGUCCAGACUCCUACGGGAGGCAGCAGUGGGGAAUUUUGGACAAUGGGCGCAAGCCUGAUCCAGCCAUUCCGCGUGCAGGAUGAAGGCCUCGGUUGUAAACUGCUUUUGUACGGUAACGAAACGGACGAAGCUCUAAUACAAGUUUGCUAAAUGACGGUACCGUAAGAA
rnacentral:rRNA from 1 species